AUUGAACGCUGGCGGCAUGCCUUACACAUGCAAGUCGAACGGUAACAGGUCUUCGGUUGCUGACGAGUGGCGAACGGGUGAGUAAUACAUCGGAACUUGCCCGAUCGUGGGGGAUAACGAGGCGAAAGCUUUUCUAAUACCGCAUACGAUCUACUGAUGUAAGCGGGUGAUCUUCGGACCUCUCUCUGUCUUUUCGGCCGAUGGCAGAUUAGGUAGUUGGUGGGUUAAAAGCUUACCAAGCCGACGAUCUGUAGCUGGUCUGAGAGGAUGAUCAGCAACACUGGGACUGAGACACGGAACAGAAUAAAAAGGGAGGCAGCAGUGGGGAAUAUUGGACAAUGGGCGAAAGCAUGAGCCAGCAAAGCCGCGUGCAGGAUGAAGGCCUUCGGGUUGUAAACUGCUGUUGUAAGGAAAGAAAAGCAUAUUAAUAAUAAAGAGGGGUAAUGACGGUACCGAAAGAAUAAGCACCGGCUAACUACGUG
rnacentral:rRNA from 1 species